ensembl:lncRNA
GGCUACAGGUGGGAAAGCAGGCUACAGACAGGAAAGCAGGCUACAGACAGGAAAGCAGGCUACUGGCAGGAAAGCAGGCUACUGGCGGGAAAGCAGGCUACUGGCGGGAAAGCAGGCUACUGGCAGGAAAGCAGGCUACAGGCGGGAAAGCAGGCUACAGGCAGGAAAGCAGGCUACUGGCAGGAAAGCAGGCUACGUGCGGGAAAUCGGGCUACAGGCUACAGGCAGGAAAGCAGGCUACAGACAGGAAAGCAGGCUACAGACAGGAAAGCAGGCUACAGGCAGGAAAGCAGGCUACAGACAGGAAAGCAGGCUACAGACAGGAAAGCAGGCUACAGACAGGAAAGCAGGCUACUGGCAGGAAAGCAGGCUACUGGCAGGAAAGCAGGCUAUGGGCAGGAAAGCAGGCUACUGGCAGGAAAGCAGGCUACUGGCA